rnacentral:rRNA from 1 species
CUUGGUCAUUUAGAGGAAGUAAAAGUCGUAACAAGGUCUCCGUUGGUGAACCAGCGGAGGGAUCAUUACAGGAAUCGCAAGAUCUCCCUGCAACCCUCGUGAACCUACCGAAACGUUGCCUCGGCGGGCGCCCGGCCUUGUGCCGUCGAGCCCGCCGGCGGCCUUAAACUCUGUCUCUAGCGUUGUCUCUCUGAGUAUUAUACAAAUUGUCAAAACUUUCAACAACGGAUCUCUUGGUUCUGGCAUCGAUGAAGAACGCAGCGAAAUGCGAUAAGUAAUGCGAAUUGCAGAAUUCAGUGAGUCAUCGAAUCUUUGAACGCACAUUGCGCCCGCCAGCAUCCUGGCGGGCAUGCCUGUUCGAGCGUCAUUUCAACCCUCAGGCUCUGCCUGGCGUUGGGGCCCUGCAUCCCGCAGCCCCCGAAAGACAGCGGCGGUCCCGUCCCGGCACCGAGCGUAGUAGCACAUCUCGCUAUGGGCGUUCGGGCGGUGGCCUGCCGGAAAACCCCCUAUUUUCGUGGUUGACCUCGGAUCAGGUAGGAAUACCCGCUUUCUUAAGCAUAUCAAUAAGCGGAGGA